GACGAACGCUGGCGGCGUGCCUAAUACAUGCAAGUCGAGCGAAGCGGCGGACGGGUGAGUAACACGUAAGGAACCUACCGAUAAGCGGGGGACAACAUCCGGAAACGGGUGCUAAUACCUCAUACUUAUCGAUGGCCUUGCGGUGCAUUAGCUCGUUGGUGGGGUAACGGCCAACCCAGGCGAUGAUGCAUAGCCGACCUGAGAGGGUAAUCGGCCACAUUGGGACUGAGACACGGCCCAAACUCCUACGGGAGGCAGCAGUAGGGAAUAUUCCGCAAUGGGCGCAAGCCUGAUGGAGCAACGCCGCGUGAGUGAAGAAGGUUUUCGGAUCGUAAAGCUCUGUUGUAAGAGAAGCGGUAUCUGACCAGAAAGCCACGGCUAACUACGUGCCAGCAGCCGCGGUAAUAC
rnacentral:rRNA from 1 species